GCAAACGGAUCCUGGACCCGCGGGUAGGGGCGGGUACCCGUUAUUUGGGGCGGGUAAGGACCGGGUCCAAAAUUUCUAAACACAAAACGGGGCGGGGCGGUUCGGGUAUACCAUAUUAGCGGGGCGGGGCGGAUCUUGAAAUAGAAGUGGACGGGCCCCCGGCCCGGCCCGUUUCUAGAAUGAAUAAUAGAAGAAAAUCAAGAAAUUGUUUCCUCCUGGUCCUCCCGACUCCUCUCAUUUCAUAGUUCACUCAGACCUCUCUCCUCCUAACUCUCUCCGAUCGUCCUAGCUCCAUACAUCGCUACCCUCCGUCCGUUGCCAUCAUCAUCAGGCUUCGAUCUUCUUUUCCUGACUCACUCUCUGGAAAUCAGUUUCUCUCCCUCCGACGAACAACGAAGUCGAACAACUCGUGUACCCAGCAAGGUUCAUGAUAGGUACAUUACGAGAUUGCGGAAGAAAUUACAGUUCGAGGAAAGAAAACAGGCUAAUCAGAGACGGGUAGUUUCUUACUUUUCCCAUUCUGCAUUUUCAGUUGUUAUUAAUUGCUUUAUUGGUUAAAAAUUAUGCAACCUGAAAUGUAACUUGAGUUAGAAUCCAAAUUCUAGACUACCAAGAGAUGUACUCAAUUAACGAUGAAACAAUAACAAGAUGAGAAAAGCAUUAGAAUUUGGAUGUCUUGGAUUUUCGGAUAUUUUGUAUGUUGAUUUGAUUUUUAGAUGUUGGAAGAUGUAAUAUUAUUAUUUUGGAUGUAUUGUUAAUCUAUGAACUUGGAUGUUGGACUUUGUAUUUA